rnacentral:lncRNA from 1 species
UAACUUACGGGCACGGAGGGUGAUCAGCCUCGUUGUACCCGGUAUUGAUCAAUACUACAUAACUUGAACGAAUUCAUCGCUCACUCAAUCCGCCUUGCGCAAAAAUCUUCCCAUAUAGGGAUGUUCAUACAUGCCUGGUUCCAAACCCGAAGGUUUUUAAUCUUGCUCAACAAUAAUAUGUAAUUCAACAUAUAUAUACGGGUAAUUGACAAAGGUGUAUCAACAUGUGAACAAAUGUCAUGAUUAUCCAAGUGGGGACACUUGUAUAACCAUUUAGAAAUCAACUUAACAGAAUAUAUAUCUGAGCUAACAUGUUGAUAAUUAAUGCGUACAUAAUCUGUACAGGAAUAUAAUAAUUCUGAAACUUCUUACUCAUGUCCAUUGCAUAAAGAAAAUGCAAAGGUAGGAUACUUGCCUGAUUCGCUGAUUACAAAUCUCAACUUAGGUUUUAUCUCUUUAUCACAACCUAUCAAUAAUCAGAUCAUUCGUUCGAUUAGAACAAUAUAUCUUAACACAUAGUACUGUCUAUUACAGUCAGCACAUAGUC